rnacentral:miRNA from 1 species
UAGUGCUGCAAUGUAGACAUUGCAGUUUCUCUCUAACUGCAAUGUUUUACAUUGCAGUACUA